rnacentral:rRNA from 1 species
GACGAACGCUGGCGGCGUGCUUAACACAUGCAAGUCGAACGGAAAGGCCCUGCUUUUGUGGGGUGCUCGAGUGGCGAACGGGUGGGUAACACGUGAGUAUCCUGCCCUUGACUGUGGGAUAACUUCAGGAAACAGGGGCUAAUACCGGAUAGGAGCUCCUGCUGCAUGGUGGGGGUUGGAAAGUGUCGGCGGUUGGGGAUGGACUCGCGGCUUAUCAGCUGGUUGGUGUGGUAGUGGCUUACCAAGGCUUUGACGGGUAGCCGGCCUGAGAGGCUGACCGGCGACAUUGGGACUGAGGUACGGCGCAGACGGCUACGGGAGGCAGCGGGGGGGAAUAUUGCACAAUGGGCGGAAGCCUGAUGCAGCGACGCCGCGUGCGGGAUGACGGCCUUCGGGUUGUAAACCGCUUUCGCCUGUGACGAAGCGUGAGUGACGGUAAUGGGUAAAGAAGCACCGGCUAACUACGUG